rnacentral:rRNA from 1 species
UACGGGAGGCAGCAGUGGGGAAUAUUGCACAAUGGGCGCAAGCCUGAUGCAGCGACGCCGCGUGAGGGAUGACGGCCUUCGGGUUGUAAACCUCUUUCAGUAGGGAAGAAGCGAAAGUGACGGUACCUGCAGAAGAAGCACCGGCUAACUACGUGCCAGCAGCCGCGGUAAUACGUAGGGUGCGAGCGUUAUCCGGAAUUAUUGGGCGUAAAGAGCUCGUAGGCGGUUUGUCGCGUCUGUCGUGAAAGUCCGGGGCUUAACCCSGGAUCUGCGGUGGGUACGGGCAGACUAGAGUGCAGUAGGGGAGACUGGAAUUCCUGGUGUAGCGGUGGAAUGCGCAGAUAUCAGGAGGAACACCGAUGGCGAAGGCAGGUCUCUGGGCUGUAACUGACGCUGAGGAGCGAAAGCAUGGGGAGCGAACAGGAUUAGAUACCCUGGUAGUCCAUGCCGUAAACGUUGGGCACUAGGUGUGGGGACCAUUCCACGGUUUCCGCGCCGCAGCUAACGCAUUAAGUGCCCCGCCUGGGGAGUACGGCCGCAAGGCUAAAACUCAAAGGAAUUGACGGGGGCCCGCACAAGCGGCGGAGCAUGCGGAUUAAUUCGAUGCAACGCGAAGAACCUUACCAAGGCUUGACAUGUUCUCGAUCGCCGUAGAGAUACGGUUUCCCCUUUGGGGCGGGUUCACAGGUGGUGCAUGGUUGUCGUCAGCUCGUGUCGUGAGAUGUUGGGUUAAGUCCCGCAACGAGCGCAACCCUCGUUCCAUGUUGCCAGCACGUAAUGGUGGGGACUCAUGGGAGACUGCCGGGGUCAACUCGGAGGAAGGUGAGGACGACGUCAAAUCAUCAUGCCCCUUAUGUCUUGGGCUUCACGCAUGCUACAAUGGCCGGUACAAUGGGUUGCGAUACUGUGAGGUGGAGCUAAUCCCAAAAAGCCGGUCUCAGUUCGGAUUGGGGUCUGCAACUCGACCCCAUGAAGUCGGAGUCGCUAGUAAUCGCAGAUCAGCAACGCUGCGGUGAAUACGUUCCCGGGCCUUGUACACACCGCCCGUCAAGUCACGAAAGUCGGUAACACCCGAAGCCGGU